AACUUUCAAAUUUCCGACAAACCCCCUCAUUUGCACUUUCGAGUGCAAAUGAGGGGGUUUGUCGGAAAUUUGAAAG